GUUCACCCACAGACUUUUUGACAUCCUUCCUCAACUAAUGGAGAUAACGUGUCGAUACUGAUGUUAAAAUAAAAUCAAAAGAUAGGACAAACUUAACCAUUUCAAGAGGAUUAAGUUGAUGAAAAACAGCUUCUUUAAGGUGUGGUCUCUUAUUGGUGUUUGAAUCAACAUUUAUGUUAUCAUUUAAAAAGGAAGGGCUUUUUUGGUCUGUUUCACACUUCAGUUUCCGCCUUCUGCUCACGGACUGCAGAGAAAAGACGCCCUUCAAAACACAACGCUGGUCAUAUUUGUAAGUAGAAUAGUUUAAUGAAAUGUCUGAUACUUUUUCAUCUCCUGUUAGCUUUUCAUGUCACAUAUUUGACUUGUGUUAUUAUCCCUAAAGUCCCAGAGAAAGGAGAGAGGAGCAGAGAUGAGUUUAACUGCAGCAGUGAGUGGAUUCAUCCUUCUCCUCUCUGUAUCAGGUACUUCAUAUCUAAAGCUUUUCCUCUUCACUCUGAGAAACCUGCAGCCUCUUUUUAAUUUGAUCAAAAACAGACUCUGUUUGCAGAACCUGCAGUUUUUUCUCCAAAAUUCUGAUUGUAAUUUGCUGUAUUGAAAUCACUUUUUGAGUUUUUUAGUGGAUACUAGUUUUGCAGUCAGGCUAGUGUCUCAGGGACUCAUUUAUUACAACACAUCUGCAACAACCCUGUCUGUUCCUCUUCAUAGGUGUUAUAUUUCCAUGCUGAUGCUGCAUUGACAGCACUUAUCUAAUCAUUGAGUAUUAGCUGCUGUACAGUUUCUCACCCCUUAGACUUCUGCAUUUAUUUUUAGAUACACACUUGACUGGGCAGCUAACUUUGCACAGAGAAAACUUUCACAGAACAGCACAAUCUGUCAAAUAAUUUACACUGUUAAUAAUGCUGUUGGGUUAGAGAAGUGUUGAUGAAUAUAAACAUCUGUAAUUUUUCAGUAUGGAUAAAUCUUCUCUCUGAUAUUUUGAUAAGUAGUUUAAAAUCUAAUAUCAAACAGAGAAAAAAGCUAAACCUGACAAAAAUAUCUUACAUGUGAUUGUUAUAUCAAGAUGAUGUCGGACUGCACCUCAAUGAUCUGGUUCAGAUUUAUUUAUUUCAUGUUCAGUCUUAAACUUUUCCUGGUCUGGUUAAAUUGACUGUGUUCUCUGAUUUUUGUGUUUUAGUGGCUCAGCCUCAGAACGACUGGGAGGUGACUUACUCUAAAACUCAGAUCUGUGUCUCCAGAGGAUCAACUGUGGAAAUAAGCUGCAACUUUAAGUACCCAAAAACAAUGGAGAGGAAGCAGAACAAACUCUUAAAAACAUUUUGGUUUAUCAGGAGACGUGGUGAUGAGUUUCUAAACAUUGAAACAGACUCAGAGUAUUCAGGUCGUGUGAAGACCACGUAUGAUGGGACCAGAUCCACCCUAACAAUCACAAACCUGACAGGGAGUGACUCAGCUGAAUACAUGUUCAGGAUGGAGACAAGCCUGGACAAAUAUUCUGGCUACCCAGGUGUCACCUUGUCUGUCAGAGGUAAAGUUUUCUGUGAAAUUUUUCAUCCUUUACCUUUUUGAAAAUCGUGUAAAUGAUUAUAUUAUGUGUAUGUUUAUGUGGAAAGUACUGACAGUUUUAUCUGAUCAGAUGUCCAGAUAAUGGUGAGCAGACCAGGUGGGCAUUUGCAGUUGAAGUGUCUCAGCCGUUGUCGUCAAGAUUUUCGAUACAUUUGGUUCAUGAAUGGAGAAAAAAUUAAGAACCAAAAUUCAAAAUAUCAUCAACCAGACCAGACUCUGAACACAGACAGAUUUUCCUGUGCUGUAGAAGGAUAUGAGGACUUCCCCUCUCCUUCAGUGUGUGAGUUUACCCCUCCCUUUCCUCUAACACAACACUAUCUGAUGGAGGUUUUAAAAUUUGGUGCGUGCCCUGACUCUCUGGUCUGUGGCUAACAUUUCCACUUUAAAAAACAUCUCAUAUCUGUGAUGCUCAGAGUAAAAACUCAAUAGUAAAGAGUUGUUAAAGGACAGAGAGCAUAAACCAAGUACAUCAGUGACUGAAAUGUUAACUGUAAAAUGUGUUUCUUCUUCAGAUGCUUUCGAGCCUCCCUCUGUGUCAGUGAGUUCCUCUGCUGAGAUAAUGGAGGGAAAAAAUGUGACUCUGACCUGCAGCAGUGGUGCUAAUGUAGAAUCCAGUUAUACCUGGUAUCAAAGAAAUGAACCUCUAUAUCCUCUGCGUCUCAGGAGAGGACCUCAGCUUGUCUUCAGCUCCAUCAAGUCCUCAGACUUUGGACAGUAUUACUGUGAAGUGAGGAACACCUUUGGGACACAGAUAUCGGGGAACAUCUUGGCUGGUUUGACAUGUGUGUGAAACAUCACAGUUCAAACACAUUAGAAAGACAAUAAACUACACAACAAUACCUCAAAACAGUUUUAUCCUGUAUUUGAACAAAAAGCACUAAGACAAAAUUUCUUCUUUUAUAUGUUUAUUUGCAUGUUUAAUUUACUAACUUUGAUUAAAUCCAUUUCCAGAUGAUCCAGAGCUUCCCUCUGUGUCAGUGAGUCCCUCUGCUGAGAUAGUGGAGGGUAAUCAUGUGACUCUGACCUGCAGCAGUGAUGCUAAGCCAGAUGCUACUUAUACCUGGUACAGAAGAAGUGGACGUCUAAGUCUGAGUCUCAGAAAAGGAAAUCAGCUUGUUUUCAGCUCCAUUCAGUCCUCAGACUCUGGACAGUAUUAUUGUGAAGUGAGGGGCAUCACUGAGUCCUCUAGGGACGUCUUAGUCUAUGUGAAAUGUGAGUAAAAAGUCACAUUUAAAGAGGAACAGAAGGAUGAAAACCAUACACAACCAUAUCCCAGAAAUGAUUUUUAUUCUGUGUUCGUUUCUUUGUCAUUUCUGUUUUUAUCCGUCUUCAGAUGCUCCAAAGUUCUCUUAUGUGUCUGUGAGUCCCUCUUCUGAGAUAGUGGAGGGCAGUUCAGUGACUCUGACCUGUAUCAGUUAUGCCAACCCAGCACCACGUUCCACCUGGUACAAGGAGAACAACACCACGUUUCAGUCAACAGGAGGAAUUUAUACUUUUCUCAACAUCAGCCAUCUGGACAGAGGGAGAUACAACUGCAGAUCUGAGAAUCAAUAUGGAUCACAUGUAUCUCCCCCUCUCUCACUAGAUAUCCAGUGUGAGUAGAAGACAUUACAAAGUUAGAUCACCUGGUACAAAACUCUUCUUAAUGGCUUAAGUCUCCAUGUAAAGUUUUCUUUCGAUCUCUUCCAGAUGCUCCAAAACGUCCCUCUGUGUCAGUGAGUCCCUCUGCUGAGAUAGUGGAGGGUAAUCAUGUGACUCUGACCUGCAGCAGUGAUGCUAACCCUGCAGCUACUUAUACCUGGUACAAAGAGAGUGAAGACUCAGCAAACGCUUCAGGACAGACCUUCACCAUCACUGAGUUCAGAGCUAAUCACAGUGGGAAUUAUUACUGUGAAGCCCGGAACAAAAUAGGACGCCAGAAAUCCAGCCCACAUCAGAUCGUUGCAGCAGGUGAGAUAUUUACACACCUGCACACAGAGAGCUUACCCAGAAUACUCAAAGCAGCUCAUGAUAUAUUUGAUUAAUUAAUUUUUUCCUUCACAAACAUGUUUUCUCUGAAUCAGAUCUUAAAACUGACUAAAGUGAAUAAUUCAUGGAGGGAACUCCAUGUCAGAUUCUGGCUCAACAGAGUCUCAGACAGAGCUAAAGAUAUAGACCAGUCUGAUUCUGUUAGUAAUGUGUCUCACAUAUCUCUCUUCUUUCAUUCAAGGGAAAUCAACAAUAACAACCAUAAUUAGCAUCAGGUUUACCCUGUUCUUUUUGAUGUUGAUUCCUCCACCUCUCGUGAGUCUGUUGACAAGGUAAAACCAUAAAACUCCAUCAAUUCAAACAUGUUUCUUUUAUGAGCUUCUUCACUUGGUUCAUAGUUUAUUUUCUUUUCUCUCUAUCACUGUAAAACUGACUGUUCUCAAAUGUAAUAAUCCAGGAAGAAGAAACCUCUGAACUCCAACACUGAACCAAGUGAACCUGCAGAGAUGAUAGAGGUGAGACCGACUGCUGACAAAACAUCUUUACAGACCUGUUCAAAGAUGUCAGGAUCAAAGUUUCAAAAUGGGACUAAAAUACUUUCAAAGAUGAUCAACUCUCUUCAUCUGUCCUCAGCUGGACUCUGCUCAUGAGAAUGAGAAAGUCUCAGCGGUCACUGCAGCACAGACUGAAGACAUAGAGGAGCAGGAAGACAGGGUGUAAAGUCCAGUCAGGGUGGGGUGUCUCCAGUGGUGCUGAUGGUCUACUGGUCCCAUAACUGGACUAGAGUCCCCUGUUGAGCGGUUGCUGGUUCAACUCCCGCCCAUGAUCCUUUGCUGCACAUGUUCUCUCACUUUCUACACUCCUCAUUUGCUGUCUUUCUUCUGCUUUCCUAUCUACAAAAGGAAAAAAUGCCCCAAAACACGACUGUCAUGAAAGUCAAAUAGAAAAACAAGAUACUUUAAAAAUCAAGUCAAAAAUAAGACGUUUCAAACUCUUACUUUUGUCAUGUUGGUUAAGUUUCCUUUAUUUUUGCACAUUCAUGUUUUGUUUCAUGUCAUGUAUUUCCUGUUUUAUUUUGUAGUUCACCAACUCUUGUUUCUGUCUUCUAGCUUUGUUCCUGUCUGGUCUGCCCUCGUUUUGUCACACCUGCUGCCUGAUUGUGUUUCCCCACCUGUUCCCCAUCACCCUCACUACCUCUUGUAUUUAAUCUCAUGCAUCUCACUGUCUCGUCACCAGUUCGUUGCACUCUAUAGUCACGUUCCAGCAUUAUGCAUAGUUUUAGUCAAGUCAUGUAUUACCUUUGCCUGCUUUAUUUCUGACCUUGCUGUUUUACAAUAAAUUCCUUGUCUUUUGGACCAACUGA
rnacentral:lncRNA from 1 species